rnacentral:rRNA from 1 species
AAUGAACGUUGGCGGCGUGGAUUAGGCAUGCAAGUCGAGCGAGAACCGUAGCAAUACGGGGACAGCGGCGCAAGGGAGAGUAAUACGUGGAUACGUACCCUCGGGUCCGGGAUAGCUGCGGGAAACUGCAGGUAAUACCGGAUGACAUCUCCGGAUCAAAGGUGUGAUUCCGCCCGGGGAGCGGUCCGCGUCCUAUUAGCUAGUUGGUGAGGUAACGGCUCACCAAGGCUGUGAUGGGUACGGGGUGUGAGAGCAUGCCCCCGCUCACUGGGACUGAGACACUGCCCAGACACCUACGGGAGGCUG